UUGCGGGCCGAUAUUCCGCGACCCGGCCGAGGGGCGGACUGUGAUCCGAAUCGCCCGCAAAAAAGGGCGCG
rnacentral:sRNA from 1 species